rnacentral:rRNA from 1 species
AUUGAACGCUGGCGGCAUGCUUUACACAUGCAAGUCGAACGGUAACAGGCCGCAAGGUGCUGACGAGUGGCGAACGGGUGAGUAAUGCAUCGGAACGUGCCCAGUCGUGGGGGAUAACGCAGCGAAAGCUGUGCUAAUACCGCAUACGAUCUAUGGAUGAAAGCGGGGGACCGUAAGGCCCCGCGCGAUUGGAGCGGCCGAUGUCAGAUUAGGUAGUUGGUGGGGUAAAGGCCUACCAAGCCGACGAUCUGUAGCUGGUCUGAGAGGACGACCAGCCAAACUGGGAGUGCGACACGGCCCAGACUCCUACGGGAGGCAGCAGUGGGGAAUUGUGGACAAUGGGCGCAAGCCUGAUCCAGCAGUGCCGCGUGCAGGAAGAAGGCCUUCGGGUUGUAAACUGCUUUUGUACGGAACGAAACGGUCUGGGUUAAUACCCUGGGCUAAUGACGGUACCGUAAGAAUAAGCACCGGCUAACUACGUGCCAGCCGCCGCGGUAAAAC